UACAGGGGGUGCAAGCGUUGUUCGGAAUUACUGGGCGUAAAGCGCACGUAGGCGGGUUGUUAAGUCGGGGGUGAAAUCCUGGAGCUCAACUCCAGAACUGCCUUCGAUACUGGCGACCUUGAGUCCGGGAGAGGUGAGUGGAACUCCGAGUGUAGAGGUGAAAUUCGUAGAUAUUCGGAAGAACACCAGUGGCGAAGGCGGCUCACUGGCCCGGUACUGACGCUGAGGUGCGAAAGCGUGGGGAGCAAACAGG
rnacentral:rRNA from 1 species